rnacentral:rRNA from 1 species
CCUACGGGGGGCUGCAGUGAGGAAUAUUGGUCAAUGGACGCGAGUCUGAACCAGCCAAGUCGCGUGAAGGAUGAAGGAUCUAUGGUUUGUAAACUUCUUUUAUAUGGGAAUAAAGUGAGGAACGUGUUCCUUUUUGUAUGUACCAUAUGAAUAAGCAUCGGCUAACUCAGUGCCAGCAGCCGCGGUAAUACGGAGGAUGCGAGCGUUAUCCGGAUUUAUUGGGUUUAAAGGGUGCGUAGGUGGUUAAUUAAGUCAGCGGUGAAAGUUUGUGGCUCAACCAUAAAAUUGCCGUUGAAACUGGUUGACUUGAGUAUAUUUGAGGGAGGCGGAAUGCGUGGUGUAGCGGUGAAAUGCAUAGAGAUCACGCAGAACUCCGAUUGCGAAGGCAGCUUACUAAACUAUAACUGACACUGAAGCACGAAAGCGUGGGGAUCAAACAGGAUUAGAUACCCCAGUAGUC